AACGAACGCUGGCGGCAUGCCUAACACAUGCAAGUCGAACGAGACCUUCGGGUCUAGUGGCGCACGGGUGCGUAACGCGUGGGAACCUGCCCUUAGGUUCGGAAUAACUCCCCGAAAGGGGUGCUAAUACCGGAUCAUGUCUUCGGACCAAAGAUUUUUCGCCUUUGGAUGGGCCCGCGUUGGAUUAGCUGGUUGGUAGGGUAAAAGCCUACCAAGGCGACGAUCCAUAGCUGGUCUGAGAGGAUGAUCAGCCACACUGGGACUGAGACACGGCCCAGACUCCUACGGGAGGCAGCAGUGGGGAAUAUUGGACAAUGGGCGAAAGCCUGAUCCAGCAAUGCCGCGUGAGUGAUGAAGGCCGUAGGGUUGUAAAGCUCUUUUACCCGGGAUGAUAAUGACAGUACCGGGAGAAUAAGCUCCGGCUAACUCCGUG
rnacentral:rRNA from 1 species